GGGCCCAUGGUCUAACCCGGAUUAUGACACUUGGCUUCGGACCAGGAGAUUGCGGGUUCAAAUCCCGUUGGGCCCA
rnacentral:tRNA from 3 species